GAUGAACGCUAGCGGCAGGCUUAACACAUGCAAGUCGAGGGGUAUUUGUCUUCGGACAGAGAGACCGGCGCACGGGUGCGUAACGCGUAUGCAACCUACCUUUUACAGAGGGAUAGCCCAGAGAAAUUUGGAUUAAUACCUCAUAGUAUACAGAGUUGGCAUCAACACUGUAUUAAAGUUCCAACGGCAAAAGAUGAGCAUGCGUCCCAUUAGCUAGUUGGUAAGGUAACGGCUUACCAAGGCAACGAUGGGUAGGGGUCCUGAGAGGGAGAUCCCCCACACUGGUACUGAGACACGGACCAGACUCCUACGGGAGGCAGCAGUGAGGAAUAUUGGACAAUGGGCGCAAGCCUGAUCCAGCCAUGCCGCGUGCAGGAUGACGGUCCUAUGGAUUGUAAACUGCUUUUGUACAGGAAGAAACACUCCCUCGUGAGGGAGCUUGACGGUACUGUAAGAAUAAGGAUCGGCUAACUCCGUGCCAGCCGCCGC
rnacentral:rRNA from 1 species